CGUAGCUUAACUAAAGCAUAACACUGAAGCUGUUAAGAUGGGCCCUAAAAAGUUCCGCAAGCA
rnacentral:tRNA from 1 species